rnacentral:tRNA from 1 species
GCCUCCGUAGCUCAAUGGAAAGAGCCGCGAGUUCCUAACUCGUGGAGUGCGGGUUCGAAUCCUGCCGGAGGCUC